rnacentral:siRNA from 1 species
AUCUCUCGCGACCCAAUAUCCUG